GCACAGAUAGAUUCUUCCCAGCGAACUCCUCACCGAUGAGGCCAUCUUCUCACUAUACACCUUAUGACAGGGCAAGCUAUGUAACUCCAUCACCCCAGGAACCAGUGAGGAAUGCUUAUUACACGCCACCUUAUGACAGGCCAAACUACGUACCUUCAUCGCUCCAGGAGCCAGUGAGGAAUUCUUCUUAUUACAUGCCACAUUAUGCUCCAUCAACCCAGGAGCCAGUGAGGAAUUCUUAUUACAUGCCACCUUAUGACAGGCCAAAUUACAUACCUCCUUCACCCCAGGAGCCAGCAAGGAAUUCUUCUUAUUACAUGCCACCUUAUGACAGGCAAAGCUAUCCACCUGCUCCACCCCAGGAUCCAAGGAGGACAUCUAAUU
rnacentral:lncRNA from 1 species